GUAGAGGGCGCUUUCUGUGUCUCAACUCAUUUUCUGACCCCACACCUAGAAUUUCCUGUGCCUCUCAAACUAACCGCUUGUUCUCAAGCGGUUUCAGGGUCUGCUUCUAGGAGGACCCGAAGUACAUCAGAACCCUUAGGGGUUCUUCUGUAUUUUACGUCAUCAUAAGCCAUUCUGAACCCUAAGAAAAUGGGUCGCUAUACUUAAUGUCUUAGGAGUGAAAGCGUGGUUCAGUGAUGCUUUAACUUCUGCGUCAUCAGGAGUUCUCUGAGGUUGUUGAAAGUUAAUCUCCUACUGUGUCCCAGGACCUUAGCAAGAUGUGGAAGAGAAUACAUACCAAAGAUUCUCCUGAGGAAAAGCUGUACUCUGCAGGGAUUUACAUAGUGAGGCUCACCGGGCUGUGAACAUUUGGGACAUGAUGACGUGAACAUUAUAUUAUAUUCUUUUCUCUUUCAGGCUUAGGCAUUUAUUGCUCUCCCUGAGAAGACUGGCUUUCCUCAGGUGAAGAACACGUGUGGAUGGGCGAGUCUGAAAGCCAUUUUUAUCUCCUUGGAAGGCAUUUUCAUUCCGUCGUUCAACAAAGGUUUAUUGUACUUUACCAGGCUUUGAGCUUUAGGCUAAGCACCGUGAAACAUUCAUAAACACACACACACACACACACACACACACACACACACACACACACACACACACACACACACGGAUAAAAAGGCACAGUUCCAUCCCAGGGUUAAUGGAUCUGGGAACAGCCAUCGAAAUACCCUUUUACAGGGUUCAUUUGUGUGGUAAUACAU
rnacentral:lncRNA from 1 species